rnacentral:lncRNA from 1 species
AAAGUUGAGAAACCGUCCAUCCAUCGGAAAUAAUAUAGCUUUUGGUAGGUUCCCAUUUGUAAUAGCCAUUGUAUUAAAGUCACCUAGCAUGCUUUCUUUAGAUAAGAUCACAUUUAAGAACAUCCAGCAUCUAGGUGGUUUCUCCAUUAUGUCUGCGAAUAUAUUCUGGCAUUGAGGCUUGUCAGACACAACAAUUUCUUCUUCUAUCUUCUCCAGCUCAUCGCACCAUGGUUUCGAAGGUGUACUUGCUUUUACAUCAUAGAGAGUAUUGCCGACGACAUGACUACCAAUCGGAUAAGGUUUUGCAAAUCUAACUGGACUCUUGAAC